ACGGGAGGCAGCAGUGGGGAAUCUUGCACAAUGGGCGACAGCCUGAUGCAGCAACGCCGCGUGAGGGAAGACGGUUUUCGGAUUGUAAACCUCUGUUCUUGGUGACGAAGAAGUGACGGUAGCCAAGGAGAAAGCCACGGCUAACUACGUGCCAGCAGCCGCGGUAAUACGUAGGUGGCAAGCGUUAUCCGGAAUUACUGGGUGUAAAGGGAGCGCAGGCGGGACAGCAAGUCAGCGGUGAAAUGUAUGGGCUUAACCCAUGAACUGCCGGUGAAACUGUUGUUCUUGAGUGGAGUAGAGGUAGGCGGAAUUCCGAGUGUAGCGGUGAAAUGCGUAGAUAUUCGGAGGAACACCAGUGGCGAAGGCGGCCUACUGGGCUCUAACUGACGCUGAGGCGCGAAAGCGUGGGGAGCAAACAGGAUUAGAUACCCUGGUA
rnacentral:rRNA from 1 species